rnacentral:snRNA from 1 species
UAACUUAACUGGCAAAGGUGAAUCAGGAAAGUAAAUUUCCCAAGGGAAGGCUUAUCCACUACAUUCUGGAUGGAUUAGUUCCCUGUAAAUUCUCCAAUAUAGGAAUCUUUACUAUACAAUUUGUAAUAAUGGAAGAAUAAAUUCAUGCUUCUC